GAUGAACGCUGGCGGCGUGCCUAAUACAUGCAAGUCGAGCGAACAGAUGAGGAGCUUGCUCCUCUGACGUUAGCGGCGGACGGGUGAGUAACACGUGGAUAACCUACCUAUAAGACUGGGAUAACUUCGGGAAACCGGAGCUAAUACCGGAUAAUAUAUUGAACCGCAUGGUUCAAUAGUGAAAGACGGUUUUGCUGUCACUUAUAGAUGGAUCCGCGCCGCAUUAGCUAGUUGGUAAGGUAACGGCUUACCAAGGCAACGAUGCGUAGCCGACCUGAGAGGGCGAGCGGCCACACUGGAACUGAGACAAGGGCCAGACUCCUACGGGAGGCAGCAGUAGGGAAUCUUCAGAAAUGGGCGAAAGCCUGACGGAGCAACGCCGCGUGAGUGAUGAAGGUCUUCGGAUCGUAAAACUCUGUUAUUAGGGAAGAACAAAUGUGUAAGUAACUAUGCACGUCUUGACGGUACCUAAUCAGAAAGCCACGGCUAACUACGUG
rnacentral:rRNA from 1 species